rnacentral:lncRNA from 1 species
AGGGGUUCGAAGAGGCAUAUCUAUCUCUAGGGUUGGACAUUCAUCAAUAAUGCUAUGACAUCGGCCCUAUAAGCUUUAUCAUAUGCCUGACCCAUGUCUGCAGCCUAGGUAAUAGAUUACCCUCCAACAUAUUCUAUUUUGUUUGGUAGUGAGAUGUGUUGUGAUCUCCAUCAUCAAUAUCAUUGAAACUUCUUUUAAUAGAUUGGAAC